GACGAACGCUGGCGGCGUGCCUAAUACAUGCAAGUAGAACGCACGGUUUAUACCGUAGCUUGCUACACCAUAGACUGUGAGGUGCGAACGGGUGAGGAACGCGUAGGUAACCUGCCUGGUAGCGGGGGAUAACUAUUGGAAACGAUAGCUAAUACCGCAUAAUAUUAAUUAUUGCAUGAUAAUUAAUGGAAAGGUGCAAUUGCAACACUACCAGAUGGACCUGCGUUGUAUUAGCUAGUAGGUGAGGUAACGGCGCACCUAGGCGACGUUACAUAGCCGACCUGAGAGGGUGCUCGGCCACACUGGGACGGCGACACGGCCCAGACUCCUGCGGGAGGCAGCAGUAGGGAAUCUUCGGCAAUGGACGAAAGUCUGACCGAGCGACGCCGCGUGAGUGAAGAAGGUUUUCGGAUCGUAAAGCUCUGUUGUAAGAGAAGAACGGGUGUGAGAGUGGAAAGUUCACACUGUGACGGUAUCUUACCAGAAAGGGACGGCUAACUACGUG
rnacentral:rRNA from 1 species